AAGCAAUAACAGACUUUUGUUGAAAGCGUAGUGACAAUCUGAUAAAGGCAGAGCCCUGUGGUCAGUGGACUCUGAUUUGUUUGCAACAUUGUGUUGACCAUCUGAGAAGAGAAGCUGAGAGCAAGCAGGGAGCACAGACACGUAAGACUGAGAUAUGAAAUAUACGACAGUACCACAAGCUGGCCAAAGUGCACGGGGGACAUUGGUGGUGCCCUGCAAGAAUUUGGACCCUGUUGCACACUGCCCAGCCUCCCCAGCUUUUCUCUGGAACCCUUGGAACCUUGCUACAAGCCUCUAGGACUCUGUGAAUCUUGCAUUCAGCAUAGUCGUGAACCAGCACCACAUCGAUGAUGCCAUGUCUGGCUGCCAGCUCACUGUGUAGACAUGUUCUCCUGCACCAAAAAGCCUGGAGCUUGCUGACUUGGCUAGGCUGGCAGCCAGUAAACCCAGAGAUCUGCCUGUCUGCACCUCUACAGGUAUUAACAACUAUGCAUUGCUACUCCUGGCUUCUAGACAGAGAUCUUGGGGAUCGAACUCAGGUCUUCAACUGAGCAGGCUCCUGAGACUGCAUGGUCCUAAAACUACUACAAAAGAGAGAAGAGUCCUCCAAUCUGGAAACAUUCUCAAUAAAAGAAAAAA
rnacentral:sRNA from 1 species